GUGCACCAGGCGAGAAUCUUCGGCAAUGGGCGCAAGCCUGACCGAGCGACGCCGCGUGCGGGAUGAAGGCCUUCGGGUUGUAAUCCGCUGUCAGAGGGGAGGAAAUGGCGGCCCUCGGGGUCGUCUUGACCAAACCUCAGAGGAAGGACGGGCUAAGUUCGUGCCAGCAGCCGCGGUAAGACGAACCGUCCAAACGUUAUUCGGAAUUACUGGGCUUAAAGGGUGCGUAGGCGGCCUGGCAAGUUGGGUGUGAAAGCCCUCGGCUCAACCGAGGAAUUGCGCCCAAAACUGCUAGGCUUGAGGGAGAUAGAGGUGAGCGGAACUUGGGGUGGAGCGGUGAAAUGCAUUGAUAUCCCAAGGAACACCAGAGGCGAAAGCGGCUCACUGGGUCUCUUCUGACGCUGAGGCACGAAAGCUAGGGGAGCGAACGGGAUUAGAUACCCGCGUAGUCC
rnacentral:rRNA from 1 species